UACGUAGGGGGCGAGCGUUGUCCGGAUUUAUUGGGCGUAAAGAGCUCGUAGGCGGUUCGGUAAGUCAGAUGUAAAAACUCCAGGCUCAACUUGGAGAGGCCAUCUGAUACUGCCGUGACUAGAGUCCGGUAGAGGAGCACGGAAUUCCUGGUGUAGCGGUGAAAUGCGCAGAUAUCAGGAGGAACACCAGCGGCGAAGGCGGAUCUCUGGGCCUUACCUGACGCUCAGGCGCGAAAGCUAGGGGAGCGAACCGG
rnacentral:rRNA from 1 species